CACGAAACCGUUUGAGCUAAUUCGGUUUUUGCGUAUGUGGCAUAAUACUUGUUGAAAUCAAAUUAGGGGUGAUAGGCCCACAAAAGCGGCAAUAUCUUGAAGUAAACGAAAAAAAUUUAGUUUAUAGAGAGUUACAAAGUGAUAAGAUUUUGUAAAACGUUCAAGAGAUGCUAUUAUAGGGGGUGGAUUUAAAAGUCUGCCUAUGGAAAAAAAAUUAUUAUGUUAUUGCAGUUAUUAUACUAGUUUACGGUAGUGUAACUAUCUUAUAAUCAUUAUGUUAAUAUGAGUACUGAGCAAGUAUUUAUAGUGAACUCGGCAAUAAAGCCUUCAACUGUUUAUCAAAAACAUAGCCACACGAUACACGUGUGGUGUGUUCUGCUCAAUGAUGUUUAAAUAGCCGCAGUACCCUGACUGUGCAAAGGUAGCGUAAUCAUUUGUCUUUUAAUUGGAGUCCUGUAUGAAUGAAUGCAUGGGGGCUUACUUUACCAUAAAUAUAAACCGAAAUUGCUUAAGAGGUGCAAAAACCUUUAUCUAAAUAAUAGACGAGAAGACCCUAGAAAUUUAAGCACUAAUUUUGUUGGGGCAACAUAGUAGAUAAACCUAUUUAAUGUACAUGAAAUAAAUUUGUUUGGCAAAAUUACUCUAGGGAUAACAGCAUAAUUCCGUAUGAGUUUGUGACCUCGAUGUUGGAUUAGGGAACUAAAGCUUAAAA
rnacentral:rRNA from 1 species